AAGUCGUAACAAGGUUUCCGUAGGUGAACCUGCGGAAGGAUCAUUAAAGUAUUCAUUCGGGGCGGACGGGUCGGCCCCGCACCGGCGGAGACGCCGUGCUGCGGGCCCUCGUACGCCCCUUCCAAACCAAACCCCUGUGAACCUUUGGGAAUGGCGGAGCCCCUCGUCGGGCGAUGCCGGCCCCACUUUACGCACCCUUUUCGUAUCAACAGAAUGACUGCGGACAUCGUCCGUCUAAACAUAUAACAACUUUCAACAACGGAUCUCUUGGCUCUC
rnacentral:misc_RNA from 1 species